rfam:Aspergillus zonatus CBS 506.65 unplaced genomic scaffold ASPZOscaffold_1, whole genome shotgun sequence.
GCAUCAGUGGUGUAAUGGUUAGCAUUGUUGCCUUCCAAGCAAUAGAUCCUGGUUCAAUUCCUGGCUGAUGCA